GGUCUUGUGGUCUAGUGGUAUGAUUCUCGCUUAGGGCGCCCAGUUCCUGAGUAAAAUUUGCGAGAGGCCCCGCGUUCGAGUCGCGGCAAGACCC